rnacentral:tRNA from 1 species
GUUGUAGUUCAGUGAUAGGGCACUCGCCUAGCGUGUGCGAGGCCCUGGGUUCAAUCCUCAGCACGAUA